CGAGAGGUGACGAUUGGGUUCGAUCUCGCUAUAUAAUGCUUGAGGGCCUUGUUCUCCCAACCAAUAUGUUACGACUUACGGGACAGCCUUGAAAACAUCUGAUCUC
ensembl:snoRNA snoRNA:Or-CD1